rnacentral:rRNA from 1 species
AACGAACGUUGGCGGCGUGGAUUAGGCAUGCAAGUCGAACGCGAAUCCCUGGGCAACUGGGGAGGAGAGUGGCGAAAGGGGCAGUAAGGCGUGGGUAACCUACCCUCCGGGCCGGGAUAGCUUCGGGAAACUGAAGGUAAUACCGGGCGACGCAGCGAGAUGGCAUGGUCUUGCUGCCAAAGGUCCGCCGCCGGGGGAGGGGCUCACGUGGUAUUAGCUAGACGGCGGGGUAACGGCCCACCGUGGCAAAGAUGCCUAGCAGGUGUGAGAGCACGACCUGCGCCACUGGCACUGAGACACUGGCCAGACACCUACGGGUGGCUGCAGUCGAGGAUCUUCGGCAAUGGGCGCAAGCCUGACCGAGCGACGCCGCGUGUGCGAUGAAGGCCUUCGGGUUGUAAAGCACUGUCGAGGGGGAGGAAGCCGCAAGGUUGACCUAUCCCUGGAGGAAGCACGGGCUAAGUUCGUG